CAGAUGAAUGCUCGCUGGUUGGAGCGCUUAGCUGUUAACUAAGAGUUUGUAGGUUCGAGGCCUUCUCGUCUAG
rnacentral:tRNA from 1 species